UCUCCAAAUAUUGGUUCAAGCGAACGUCUUUCAACGAUUUCGCCUUGUUAUAACGGGCAAAUCCAAGGAAAACCUCUGCCCAGAUCUUAUUCGGCAGUUUCACAUAAAGGGCCAUUGCGAAGGGAUCGUAAUACCCGGUCCAUCGCCGUUCAACCGUACCGGAACGUUGCUCGAGGCUUCAGGCACUUUUCAUCGUUGUUUCUUGACAAGCUAAAUCGCCUUUGGUGAGCAGGCAAAUUGGCUUCAAAAUCUCCGAAAGCUUCCAAACAUCAAUAAUAGUACUUUCACCAACGAGCUCCCAUUUUUCUCGUCUGUUCAGUUGGGAUACGGGGAAUUGUGGCGACAAACAGCCAACGAGUACCUUUUACUUGGGCAAUAGACCAUGACCAUGCCGCAAAGAAAAUACGAGAAGCGUAACUCAAAAUGUAUCAGGACACAACGUGAAAAUUUGAAGUUUCCAACUCGUCACUUCUCAUUGGGAUCGCGUUAUGUCUAUGGGUACAUCAGGAUGGAGGAUCGACUUGCACAUUCGACGAGGAUGGGGUAUCAAUUUAUUUUGAUUGAAGAUGCCAGUCAGCAAGAGCGACGGUAGAAGUCGUAUUUUUCUCCGAGGACGACCGGGUGGACAUACUUCACGAGAGAAGACCAAUUUUAUUUCGCGACCUCUCGACGAGAAAGGAGGAAAAGAAAGAGAUAUUGGGGACGAUCGAACCUCAACGCGGUUCGUGCAACGUGGAGGAAGCUGAGGGUGCGAGCGUGGACACACCGGGUUAAGCACUUUCGGACUGUAUAGUAUAGGACGACGAUAUAGAGGGUGGUCGAAUGAUGGCUUGGGUCAUUCGUGCUGUGGUCGACAUGUGUUUUCUCCUAAUAUAUAUCAUACGUGAACAGAGCAUCACCGAACGGGCGGAAGAGGAGGAGUGAGAUUGAUGACAGAGAUCACAAUGGUUAUUGGAAACGGGGAUAGCGACGAAAUUGUUCGACGAUUUUGGCUGUUUCGGUGACACCAACCAAACGACUUUACGUGAAAUUAAUUCAAUUGACUUUCCAUCCAUUAUUCCGACAACCAUGACAUUUCACGAGUCUGUCCUCUUGUCAUUAAUAGCAACGAAUAUUAUAAUUUCGCAGUUAGUAAUAAUUUAUUAAUCGAUUUACGUUCCAUUACCAAUAUAUCUUUUUUCAAGAAUUUUCAAAAUAUUUAGGCACCGGUUACAAACAGCAUAGUGAUUUUUGAACUUGGCUAUUUUUUGUCCCUUGAAUACUUAACAAUUUUAAGUGGAUUGCAAAAAGUGGUGCACGUGAGAACUGCAUUUCGUUUUGUUUUCGAGCUUUAUUCGUCAUGUCAGACUCACAAAUUUUGACUGUCAGCAUAAUAAAUUCUAUGAUAAAUACACAAAUAUACACCGAA